CGCGGCCCAGCCCAGCGCGAGCCCCUUGGAGGGGCUGCUGGACCUCAGCUACCCCCGCACCCACGCGGCCCUGCUGAAAGUGGCGCAAAUGAGACUUAGAUGAGCUGUGUUCAGCCCACCUUGCACCUGAGAGUCGUGGAAAGCCGCAGAUAACAGCUGCCCACCUGUGGCCCACCUGGCCCCACUCAGACACCAGCCAGGGUUUGCUUGACUGCACCAGACCUGCUCCCACCAAGGCUCUGCGCUGGUAUUUGCACUGGUCACCCUGCUGAUUGCCUUCAUCUGUGUGCGGAGCUCCCUGUGGACCAACUACAGCGCCUACAGCUACUUUGAAGUGGUCACCAUUUGCGACUUGAUAAUGAUCCUCGCCUUUUACCUGGUCCACCUCUUCCGCUUCUACCGCGUGCUCACCUGUAUCAGCUGGCCCCUGUCGGAACUUCUGCACUAUUUAAUCGGUACCCUGCUCCUCCUCAUCGCCUCCAUUGUGGCAGCUUCCAAGAGUUACAACCAGAGCGGACUGGUAGCCGGAGCGAUCUUUGGUUUCAUGGCCACCUUCCUCUGCAUGGCAAGCAUAUGGCUGUCCUAUAAGAUCUCGUGUGUAACCCAGUCCACAGAUGCAGCCGUCUGAUGAGGCCACAACCCCUAGGCCCCUCAGGAGCUUUGCAGAGAGGAGGACGUGUACUCCAGGCGAGGCCUCUGGACCUGUGUUCCUGUGCCAAAGUCCUGUCAGGCUGGUGGGCACCAGGAAAGGCCUGCACCCUCUUCCUGCUCUCCCAGGAAGCCAGCUCCCUGAGCUCCUGAGCCAGCCGGAAACUCUUCCUCCAGCCUUCCGGGGAGAACAUCCCUCCCAUUCUGGGAAAGGAAAGCAGCCUCCAGGGAAAUGUUUUCUGCCUUCCUGCUUCUAGAACCACCUCAGGUACUGAUGAACCCCACUUAGCACAGCUGAAGGGGUUUGUGAAUACUCCCGCCUAAAUCCCUUCUACUUCACUCCUCAGGGGAGUGAAGUGCCUUAAGAAACAAAGCCCUGUCCUAAUUUAUCUAGCUUGUCAGUCCGGUCUUAGAGAUACCCUCUUUCCUGAAGUGAGGCGUGCCUGUAGAAACACUAUGUGGUCAGCCUGUCCCCAAGGAGAUCUUGUGUCUCCUCUCCAUCUCUGCCUUUGUUACCAGUGUGCAUGUGUUUGUGUGUUUUUUAAUAAAAUAUUGACUCGG
rnacentral:lncRNA from 10 species